GAUGAACGCUGGCGGCGUGCCUAAUACAUGCAAGUCGAGCGAACGGACGAGAAGCUUGCUUCUCUGAUGUUAGCGGCGGACGGGUGAGUAACACGUGGAUAACCUACCUAUAAGACUGGGAUAACUUCGGGAAACCGGAGCUAAUACCGGAUAAUAUUUUGAACCGCCUGGUUCAAAAGUGAAAGACGGUCUUGCUGUCACUUAUAGAUGGAUCCGCGCUGCAUUAGCUAGUUGGUAAGGUAACGGCUUACCAAGGCAACGAUGCAUAGCCGACCUGAGAGGGUGAUCGGCCACACUGGAACUGAGACACGGUCCAGACUCCUACGGGAGGCAGCAGUAGGGAAUCUUCCGCAAUGGGCGAAAGCCUGACGGAGCAACGCCGCGUGAGUGAUGAAGGUCUUCGGAUCGUAAAACUCUGUUAUUAGGGAAGAACAUAUGUGUAAGUAACUGUGCACAUCUUGACGGUACCUAAUCAGAAAGCCACGGCUAACUACGUG
rnacentral:rRNA from 1 species